AGAGUUUGAUCCUGGCUCAGAACGUACGCUGGCGGCACGCCUAACACAUGCAAGUCGAACGAAGUAGCAAUACUUAGUGGCAGACGGGUGAGUAACAUGUGGGUAUCUGCCCUUUGGCCUGGAAUAACACGAGGAAACUUGUGCUAAUACCGGAUAAGUCUUUACGGAGAAAGCUUUAUGCACCAUUGGAUGAGCCCGCACUUGAUUAGUUAGUUGGUAGGGUAAUGGCCUACCAAGACUGUGAUCAAUAGCUGAUUUGAGAGGAUGAUCAGCCACAUUGGGACUGAGACACGGCCCAAACUCCUACGGGAGGCAGCAGUGGGGAAUCUUGCACAAUGGAGGAAACUCUGAUGCAGCGAUGCCGCGUGAGUGAAGAAGGCCCUUGGGUUGUAAAGCUCUUUCGUCGGGGAAGAAAAUGACUGUACCCGAAUAAGAAGGUCCGGCUAACUUCGUGCCAGCAGCCGCGGUAAUACGAAGGGACCUAGCGUAGUUCGGAAUUACUGGGCUUAAAGAGUUCGUAGGUGGUUGAAAAAGUUGGUGGGUGAAAUCCCAGAGCUUAGCUCUGGAACUGCUAUCAAAGACUUUUUCAGCUAGAGUAUGAUAGAGGGAAAGCCAGGAAUUUCUAAGUGUUAGAGGGUGAAAAUUCGUACAUGAUUAAGGAAAGAAUUCCCACGUAGCGGAAGGCGGCUUUGCUGACACUGAGGAACGAAAGCAUGGGUAGCGAAGAGGAUUAGAUACCCUCGUAGUCCAUGCCGUAAACGAUGUGUGUUAGACGUUGGAAAUUUAUUUUCAGUGUCGCAGCGAAAGCGAUAAACACACCGCCUGGGGAGUACGACCGCAAGGUUAAAACUCAAAGGAAUUGACGGGGGCCCGCACAAGCGGUGGAGCAUGUGGCUUAAUUCGAGGCAACGCGAAGAACCUUACCUGGGUUUGACAUAUAUCUGACCGUUCCCGAAACGGAACUUCUCUUCGGAGCAGAUAUACAGGUGCUGCAUGGCUGUCGUCAGCUCGUGCCGUGAGGUGUUCGGUUAAGUCCGGCAACGAGCGCAACCCAUGUCUUUAGUUGCCAACACGUAAUGGUGGGGACUCUAAAGAGACUGCCCGUGUCAAGCGGGAGGAAGGCGUGGACGACGUCAAGUCAGUAUGGCCCUUACACCCAGGGCUGCACACGUGCUACAAUGGCGACUACAGAAGGCAGCGAGACCGCGAGGUUUAGCAAAUCCGUUAAAAGUCGCCCCAGUUCGGAUUGGAGUCUGCAACUCGACUCCAUGAAGUCGGAAUCGCUAGUAAAGGCGCAUCAGCUACGGCGCCUUGAAUACGUUCCCGGGCCUUGUACACACCGCCCGUCACAUCAUGGGAGCCUGGUGCACCCGAAGCCGUCGUACCAACCGCAAGGAGGAAGACGUCGAAGGUGUGCCCGGUGACUGGGAUGAAGUCGUAACAAGGUAGCCGUA
rnacentral:rRNA from 1 species